ensembl:lncRNA
CUAGACCAGGCUGCCCAGAGUCACAUCCAGCCUGGCCUUGAAUGCCUCCAGUGAUGGGGCAUCCACAACCUCCUUGGGCAACCUGUUCCUGUGCGUCACCACCCUCUGAGUGAAAAACUUCCUCCUAAUAUCUGACCUAAACCUCCCCUGUCUCAGUUUAAACCAUUCCCCCUUGUCCUAUCACUAUCCACCCUCGUAAACAGCUGUUCCCUUUCCUGUUUAUAUGCUCCUUUAGAGUACUGGAAGGCCACACUGAGGUCUCCCUGGAGCCUUCUCUUCUCCAAGCUACACAGUCCCAGUUACCUCAACUGUUCCUUACAGGAGAGGUGCUCCAGCCCUCUGAUCAUCUUACUGGCCCUCCUCUGGACCCGCUCGAAGAGCUCCACGUCCUUCCUGUACUGGGGGCCUCAGGCCUGGAUGCAGUACUCCAGUUGGGGCCUCACAAGAGCUGAGAAGAGGGGUACAGUCACCUCCCUCUCUGUGCUGGCCCCCCCUUUUUUAAUGCAGCCCAGAACACAGUUAGCCUUCCUGGCUGCAAGCGCACACUGCUGGCUCAUGUACAGCUUCUUGUGUACCAGGAACCCCCAAGUCCUUCUCCGCAGGGCUGCUCUCAAGGAGAUCUUCCUCCAGUUUGUACAAACACCUGGGAUUGCCCCAACCCAAAUGGAGCACCCUGAACCUCAUCCGGUUUCAUGGGCCCUCUUCUCUUCUCACCGACCCUGGUGGUGUUCAAAGAGCAUUUGGAUGUUCUGUUGAGGGACAUGGUUUAGCGAGAACCAUUGGAGAUGGGCGAAUGGUUGGACUGGAUGAUCCUGUGGGUCUUUUCCAACCUUAGUGAUUCAUCCAACAGUCCAUCCUUCAAAUCCACACCUCUCCGAUUUAGAGAGAAGGAUGUGGUGACGGACCAUGUCAAAGGCCUUGCAGAAGUCCAGGUAGAUGACAUCCACCACUCUUCCCCCAUCCACCGAAGCCAUCGCUCCAUUGUAGAAGGCCACCAGAUUGGUCAGGUACGAUCUGCCCUUGGUGAAGCUAUGCUGGCUGUCUUGAAUCACCUCUAUAUCUUGUGUGUGCCUUAACGCAGCUUCUAGGAGGAUCUGCUCCAUGAUCUUCCCGGGCACAGAGGUGAGGCUCACUGGCCUGUAGUUCCCUGGGUCUUCCUUUCUCCCUUUCCUAAAAAUGGGAGUAAUGUUUCCCUUUUUUCAGUCACCGGGGACUUCACCAGAUAGCCAUGAUUUUCAAAUAUGACAGAGAGCAGCUUGGCAACCAUAUCAGCCAUCUCUUUCAGAACCCUAGGAUGGGUAUCAUCUGGCCCCAUGGAUUUAUACACGAUCAUGUUCACAAGGAGGACUCAGACUUGUUUCCACUGUUAUACUGGGACAGAAACCACUCCCCACACCCUCACCUAGAGGUUCAUGGUCCUGGCAGACACAGGAAGCCUGACCACCUAUGAAGACUGAGGCAAAGCACUCAUUGAGUACCCCAGCUUUUUUCUGUGUCUGAGGAAGCCAAGUCCCCGUAACCUUUCAUCAGAUGGGGAACACUCUCCUUGGCCUGUCUCUUCCUGCCUAUGUACCUGUAGACCCCUUCUUGUUAUCUUUCACAUCCCUUGCCAAGUUCAGCUCUAUCUGCACCUUGGCUUUCCUAAUCUUAUCUCUAUACACACAGACAACAGCCCUGUAUUCUUCCCAGGAUACACAACCCUGCUUCCACUUCCUGUACAUUUCCCUCUUUUCACUCAGUUUAAGGUGCGGGUCCUUGCACAGCCACAUCAGUUGCCUGUCUCCCCUGCUCACCUUCUGCUGGGGGAUGGAGAGCUGUUACGCUCUCAGAAGGGUGUCCUUAAAGAGCUGCCAGCUCUGUUCUGUACCCAUGCCCUUAAGGACAGUUUCCCAGGGGAUCCCACUCAGCAGUUCCUUGAGCAGCUGGAUGUUUGCUCUCCUAAAUCACAGGGUCCUAGCUCUGCUUUUUGCCAGGCCCGCAUUCUUCAAGAUCACAAACUCCACCAAGGCAUAGUCACUACAGCCCAGGCUGCCUCCAGUCUUAACCUCUCUAAUGCUCUCCUCUGCAUUAAUGAGUACCAGAUCCAGUAAGGCUUCACCUUGGGUAGCUCUGUCUAUUACUUGGACCAGGAAGUUGUCCUCAACAGACUUCAGGAAUCUCCUGGAUUGUUUGCCACCCUCCAUGCUACUAUCCCUGCAGUUAUCCAGGUGGUUGAAAUCCCCCAUGAGGACAAGAGCCUGCAAACGCAACACCUCCUUCUGCAUCUGAAGCAAGAAGGCCUCAUCAACAGGCUCCCCCUGAUCAGGUGUCCUGUACCAGACCCCAACCACUACAUGUCCUUUGCUAGAGCAAUCCUUGAUUUUUACCCACAAGCUCUCAACCUGAUCGUGGCUGUUCCUCAGACACAGCUUUUCGCAAUCGAUCCAAUUCCUAACAUAGAGGGCAACUCCACCACCCUUCCUACCCUGUCUACCCUUUCUGAAAAGUUUGUAGUCCUCAAUAUGGGUAUUUCAGUCAUGUGAUUCAUCCCUCUAUGUUUCUGUGAUAGGAAUUAGGUCAUACUUUCCCAGUUGUGCCAUGGUUUCUAGCUUCUCCAGUUUAUUUCCCAUGUUGCUUGAAUUGGUAUAGAGGCACUUCAGUUUGGCUAUUGGCCUUGUUACCUUCUCAGAGGAGCCUUCCCCAGUACCUCCAGGACACGUAUUUCCCUUGGGGUUUUCCCUUACCUCCUCCCAAGGUGACGGCGUUCCCACGUGCUUCUCUGUCACCCAGUACACCCCAUUCCCACAUCAUAUCUAGUUUAAUGCCCUGCUAACCAGCUGUCAUGGUUUUAUGAUUUUUGGUUACUGGUAUUCCACAUCAUAACAUCAUGUAGUGCACUGGGAGUUAAAGUGUUAGUACUCCAGAUCCGGGCACCUAUUCGGAAGAGAAGAAGAACUACAUUCCCCAGGGGCCUUUGCAGUCAGAGAGGAGAUAUAACCUCUGGCAAGGUCACCUGAUUGUCUCCUUUUCUUCCUUCGGCUCUUGUCCCGACCGUAAGGAUUGUCUCAUCACUACUGUAAGGCCUACAGCUUUCAGAUACUCUUUGUCUCAUUAUAUUUGUUUUAUUGGCUUCAAUUCUAAUUAUAUUGUAUUAUAGUGUGUUAUCUUGCAUUCCGAUACUGUAUUUAGUAAAUUAGUUUGUUUCUCCUCAGAUCGUUGCCGCUGUUUUUAAUUAUUUUGGGGUCCACUGUCUCCCUUUUCCAGAGGUGCGGAUUUUGCAAAAUCCCUCUGCCCCGCUAGUCACGGAACUGGGACGAACCAGCCCAUAAAUCCUUGAACCGUUGACACCAGCCCAGCCAGCUUGUUCCCAAGAAUAUUUGUGGCCCUUCUAGUCAGUCAGCUCCCGUCCCCCUUUCUCAAGGCUGCAUCCCAAGCCAUAGUGCCCAAAGCCUUGAGUACCACACCAUUCGCAAAGCCGUUCAUUCAGUAUGUCCACCCUCUUCCUGUUGUGCAGAUCACAGUCACCAACUGAGAGGACAGAGGAGAACACAACUUGUGCUCCUGAUCCCUUCAGAAAUCUUCCCAGAGCCCUGAAGUCCCUUUUGAUCGCCUGAGGACUUCUUUUGCCUACAAAAAGUUUUUGCCUACAUAUGUUAUUUCUUACCAGAACUCAAAGGGAAAUGACUGACUUGCUAAUCAAGUCAUAAUCUACGUGGAUUGCUAAUGAUUGGGAUUUCAAGAACACGCCUCUACACAAGGACUUUUUCUUUUUUUCUUUUUUUUUUUUUUAAUAGAUCAUUACUUGAAAAUUCCUUCUAUAUUCCUUAUUGCUAAAGUUUACCUGGAUGUUGCUUUUCUUUACUCAUAUGAGUAAAGAUUAAUUUCCUUCUUAUUGUAAGCUUGUAAUGCUGAGACCAAUUUUGUAUUAGAAAAUGAACUAAUCCGACUCUUUUUUUUAUAAUAUUUUUGAUAUUAUUUAAUAAUAUUUUGAUAAUAUUUUGAUAUUUUGAUAUUUUUUUCAAGGAUCAUCCUUGGAAUCUCUGUUAAUUCAGUCUCUUACCUUUCUCUGGCAAUGACUGUAAUACUGUGUUCAACAGAUCUGUCCAUGUUAGUUGAUGAACAGGAUUUUAGUAUUUCUCAGCAAAUGGGAGAGAAACUGUGGGCCAUGUACACUUCAAAAGUCAUUUUUCUGAUAAAUGUCUACAGUAGACAUACUUUUUAUUUGUUUGUUACUAUUUAUUUGUUAGUUUUUAUUUUGACCUUUUGGCUGCAGAGAGGGUAAUACCAUCUUGAAAUUUAGCAACAUCCAGUCAUUUAAUAUGUGUAUAAAUUUUUGGCUUAUUUUCUAAUCUAAGGAUUAUUUUCUAUGUUUUAGUUUCACUUAAGAUUUUGGGUAAUAAUUUGAGUAAAUAUUUAAGAAUAUUUAAAAAGAAGAUCUUUUUAUAUCAUUUUAGCAUAUACCUUUCAUAAAAAAAGGAAAGAAGAGUAAAGUAUUAUUUACAACUCCUCCUGCUAUGGAGAUUAUGGACAAGCUAUGGAGAUAUAUAUAUUUAUGGGCCUCAAAACUUGAACUGUGUAGAUGACCAUUUCACAAUGAGAUAAAUUUCAUUAAGAUUUACGACUGCUGCUUAGGCUUCCUGCUCUUCUAAAUGAAAGGAAAAAAAAAAAAAAAAAAUGAACCACUAACUUCUCCAAAAUGUUUUCCUAAUGAUCUGCAGCUACAUUGAAGAUUUUUCCGCUCUUAGGCAUACUAAGUCUUUUCUCCAUACAAUAAUUUGUUCUCUGGGGAAUGAAAAAGUUUCUUGGAUUUUAAAGGUCGUAAUUUAUUCUUUGUCUCGCACAGAAUUUUGUGCAAUGAAGAUGUUUACAUGAAAAUGUUUUCUCUUUGUAGGGAAAACAAAGACUUCACAAAUAUGUAUGUUCAUCUAUGCAUGUAAAAAUCCCUAUCCUUUUGUCAAAAUCACAUCCAUGCUGCUAAUGCAUGUACAUAAGUGAGAUGUAUAGAGUUCAAGAAAUCACAUUUUACAGAGCUUCUCAACUCUGUAGUCUGGUGAAUAAAAGCUGAGAGGAUUGUCCAUUCCCUCAAAGUACACUGCCUUUAAUCUGAAGAUAUAUUCUUGAUCACAUUUGCGAACUGUCCUUUCUCUGCUUAAACAAGGACAGUUCUGACUCGAUUUUCAUUUCAUUGAGAUAAAGGGCUGUAUUUUCUCUUCUGAGUGCUAGAGGGCACUAUGACUACACCAGUGAAACUGACAAUAACUAGAAGUAAUUUGCUCCCAUUUCAGUACUUCAGUAAUAUUUUUCUUGUUUCAGUUCUCAUGCUAAUAUUUGCAUUUCUUGCAGAAACCUGUAUACAUCCUUACCAUGUCAGCAGAAAUUCUGUUUGUGUGAACUGAAACAAGGUAUCUCUCUUUGGAUUUUGGUACCAAUAGUAAAACAUGACUCCAGGUGUUUAAAUCUUCAUAAAACAAAGGCAUGUUUCUGUGUUACAAGAGGGAUAUAUCCAUCUGCUUUUCUGCUCUGGGAGUUGAAUUAGCUUUUCAUAGAUUGCAGGUGAAGUUAUAGGAAACUUUAUGUAGUUCCAUCUUGUUUGUCAAAACAUUACAUAAAAAUCUUUUGUGUUUAUACUCUGAAGUAAGGCAUAUAAAGUAAACAUUUAAUUGUUGGAAAGGAUUGAGGUGGGGCAGAUGGGGUUAUUUUUUGUAUAAACUUCAAAAGAAAUUAUCAGUUUAACACAAUGUGAAGUAAUUUCACCAAUGUAGCCAGUUACCUUUGUUUUACGGUAGCCUCAUGCUAAAUACAUGCAAGAAUUACUAUUGUAACUCCACCAGCUGGUGCAGUAUAGCUGCACAAAGAGAUUUUUUAACUACAGUUUGGAAUACUUGUUCAUUCUGUUGGUUAUAUGUCUUGUACUGUCAUGCAUGUGUAAAUUGGGAAGCUACUUGUAGCCUAUGCAUCUCUACACCUGGAAUUCUUAAUGUGCAACAUUCAUGUAUAUAGAUCGUGUUUAGACCAACAACAUGUAUGGGUGUACAUUUGAAUUUCUGUGUGGCGUUUUCCUAUCCCUUGCAGUUGUAUGUGCAGUAUCAGAAAGUGUUGGGAUAUCUCUAAUUUUGUUGUGCCCCUCCUAACUCACAAAUUCAGCUAAGUGGACAUUACUAUAAGUUUUCUUUUUUUUCGUAUGAGAUGGCAGCCAUAUUGUCAGCUGUGGAGUAUACAUCAGAAAGUCCUGCAAAACUUCUAAGAAGUCAGCGUCUUUAAGAUGGAAGCCUUGCUUACCAGAAGUGAUUAUCGAGGAAAAAAUGUGGUUGAAAGAAUACGCUUUAAUUCAUCACAGUUUAUCUAUUUGCAUUCAAAUUUAAUAGAUGCUUAUAAUUUACACACUGCUGUUCUCAGAGAGGUAUUAGAUAAUGUUUAAAAAAUCAUACAUCUCCCGUGAAGUAUUUCUACCACUUUCGCUAACAGGAAGGAGAGGCUUAGUAUGUUCAUAUAUAUUUUUAUAGAAUUUUUAGUGAUGCUUUUCCAUCUUACCCCAGAAAACAGGGGAAAAGGGUAGGAUGCUAUUUGUUUUGCAAAGUUCUACACCCUUAAUCUUUCUCAUUGCUGAAGUUUUCAAAACUUCCUCAUAUGUACUACCAUCAUUCACAUAUAAAGCAAAGUUUGUAUUAACAAAUUAACAUCUAAUCUAAAUCUCCCCUACCUUAUGUGAUAGGACAAGAGAGAAGAGUUUUAAACUGAAGUUAUUACUAUCUCUCAAAUGAUUACAGUGAUGAGAAAUGUUGUCUAUGCUUCAGAACUUUGCUUCCAUACUCUAUUCCACUGUUUGAAUGGGAUGGAUAUAAAGAUAAUAACUACUUGUGUACUGGAACACCUUUAAAAUCAGUUAAUCCUUUUACAGAUAAAGUAGAAAACUACUUUUACUGCAAUACCCAGGAGUAUUUUAUUCAGUAUCUUUCAGAAGAAAAAAGUCUAUUUACAUUUGUAAUUUCAAGUCAAUAAUUGGUGAAUAUGUGUUUACAGUAUUCAAACAUCUGACCCAUGGCAGUCCUACAGGCUACUUUGUGGUCAGUGUUCCAAAGUACUGGAAUCUGAAGGAGGCACGUUCUCUGGUUUUAGAGCUCGGAUUUUUUCAUUCCUAUGGCCAGCAUCCUGCUUCUACGUUGUGUACUAGCUGUUUGACACAUGAUCUGCUAGUUAGUAGAUUUAAUUCCUGGCCUGAAUUAUGAAAUUAUUUUUCUGUGAGAAAUUAUGUAAGGAUGUAAGUAUAACUGUAAGUAUAACAGUGAAACUGAAUUUUUUGUUUGUGGUGGUCCUAUACAGUGAAAAAUCACAUAACAUAACUCACCAUUACAUUUUGUUAACAUGUAAUAGGUCAAUGUUGUUCUAUAUUUCUUUGCUAAAAUUAUGUUUUGGUAACAUUAAUAUUAAAAUCACAAAGAAAUAUUAGAUUGUUUCUGGGUUGAGCCCUCUCUAAGCACCUUUCAAAUGGUUUUCAAGUAAGUGCUAUUUCUUUUCUUAUCCUCAUUUACUUUAAUGCUACUUUAAUGUAGGGAAAAUACUGGUAUGUUUCUUCUUGUAUUGGCCUUUCAUUUCAGGUUUACCAAUUCCUUCGUGUCUACUAAACACUGAAUAGUUUGAAGAUAGCUUAUCAGGAAAAUACCAAAGAAAUAACUUUGUAUUAGUGGAAUAAAUUCUAGAAACCAGAAUCUAAAAUAAUAAAGGAUUAAGCAGUAGCAUUUGCUACAUGGCCAUUUUUAAGAUGAUAGUAUAUCAUGCUACAGUACUAUCCGUAGAUAAGCUUUUGUUAAACUUUUAAAAUAAUUUGAGUAGAUAAUUACUAGUGUUUUAGUAGUCUAAGGCAGGAUUGAUGGUAUCUUGAUUGGCUAUAGCAGUUACUAAAGUUCACAUUUUAUGACCUCCUUAAAAAUACUAAUUUAGAAGCUUAUGAAUUACUCUCUGGAGUCACCCUGAAUUAACAAAUACUGAGCUAUCUUUUACCUUUUAAAUCUCUUUGUUAAAUAAUUUCUACCCACUACUGAUUUUUAUAGUGUUUUUAAUACUGAUGUCGAACAAAAAGGGUGUGGCUGGUCACUCCUGCCUAUCCUUUGUGCCUGAUGGGUAUUUGUGUGAUAGUAUAGCGAUUGAGGAGCUGAGCUAUGCUUUCAAAAAUGAGGCAGUCAAACUGCAUUAUUUUCCUAAUUUACUUCACCAUGAGACUGAAAAGAAAUUUAUGUUGGGGAAUGCUGGAGCAGGAGUGAGCAGCUGGGAUCAGUAGAGCUCUUCUUCCUACAUUUUUCGUUCAACUUAAGUUACUUCUAUUGCAAAAAAAAAAAAAAAAAUUGCACCACAGUGCUGCCCUCUGUUACAUGUAUUUGGCUUCAAUUCUUGUUUUUUUUUGUUGUUGUUUUUGUUUUUUUCUCUUUUCUUCCCCCCUAUUUACAGAUCCAGCAUAAAAAUAUUUAAUAAACCUUUUAUCAAGCAGCAUGUGGAGUUGAAGAUCAGAAGAGUAAUUGCUCAGAAGGGCAAUUGAGAACAUCGCGCUUACACAGGCUCCUUAGAAGUGUGAAACAAUGCUGUGAUUCAACAGCGACCUCCUAAAUUGAAAUCUGCAUGGCCCUGUGUAAGAGCUGAGCUUCUUUACCCAGUUGGAAGUCAGUAAAAGGUAGCCCUCAUAGCCUUAUGAACAGGGAUUCUGUGGUGGUAGCUCUGCUUCCUUUCAGCACCUUUCAGUACCACCUCCGUGGUACUGACCAGAUGGUGGUGCAGAAGGCAUUCUCUUAAAUGGAUUAAGGAUUGCUUCCAGAGGUGAUGUGAGAAACCUUGGAAGGGUUUUGCCACACCCUUUAUAUCUUAUACUAGUUUUGUGUUAAUGGCUGUGUGACUUGUGUCAUUACUGUGCUAAUGCAGUAGCAGCUUACUUUUGAGCUGCUUCCUCCUCCCAGACACCAUUGUGCUGUGGAAAGCUGAGCUGAAGGAAUGAGCUGCAGUGCCUGCACUUUGCUUCCUAGGAGAACUCAGGUUUGCCAGCUGGGUAAAACUGCCCUGAGGCUAAGCUGCAGCAGGAAGACAUCAUUUCCACUAAUGGAUCUGUGUAGACAGGCUAAACCAUUGGAAAGGAACUUAGGCAGUUCUGAUGGCAUUUAGAGAUUCGAGCCAGGCAGGGAGUCAAGCCAGGUGGGAAGAGCUGAGUAAGUAUAGGGAUGUAGCAUGAUGUAUAGGACUUGUGAUUAGGUUAGACAGCAUCAGGGCUGAUUUUGUCGAAGUUUAUUGGGUGUGAGUGAAAUAAACUACCAAUGUUAAAGAGCUAGAUGGAGGUACUGAGAUGGAAGCUGAGAUUUCAAGUUCCAAAGCAGGCCAAACAACUGGUUAUGUACAUUUUUCCUUUCCUGCAGUUCACCUGCUGCCUUGCCAUGUGCGUGAGGCAGCCCAAUUUGUUGCAGAAGAAAACUCUUGCUAUAAAACAUCUGGGAAAUACUACUAAACCCACAAAAUGGGGCAAAGAAAUACUGUUUUUCUGUGCUGUGAUUUCACAGAGGCUUCCAGCUGGAGCUUUAAUAGAGCAUCCGAGGUACCUCGAGCAUUCAAGGUACCUAACAGUUUAGAUAAACCAUACCUUGGUGUUUCCUCCUGAGUGGCUCAGGAGUCUCUAAAUUUGUUGUCUGUUAUGAACCCCUGUGGAGUAUAUUGUAUAGUCAGUCAGUUGCUGUUUUGAAAGACUAGCAAACCUAUUUGUUCAAGUUUGAUCAAUUAGAGUUAAUACGCCAAAUAAUAGAUAUUUGCUGUUAUUUAAACUGUUUAAUCCAGUUGUCUUUGACAAAGUUGGGAAGGAAUUACACUAGCAACUUAACAGGCAGAUCGUAAUUUCAGAUGAGGAAACGAAUGAUGAUGAGCUAUUGUAGUAUAGGAGUACAGGAUCCUGUUUGGUCACAGUUAUUGCAGAAUAAGCUGGAAGGUAUGAGUCUCAACUUUUUACAAUUGCAUUAAUAGGACCAUGUGUCAAUUGAACUUUAAGAAUUGAACACUUUUGCUGUGCAGAGCGUUUCCUUGGCUGACGCCUUUUAGAUAUCUGUCCAGCUGUCCAAAGAAUCAAUGGUUCUGCCUUGCCCUUCCUCUCUGAAAGAUUGGCAAGUGAUCUGAACACUUGAUGGUUUAGGAGCCCUAUCAAUUAUUGUCUUAUCUGCAGAAAGCUGUGCAUUCUUCAAUAGCUGCUUUCUAAAAACAGGUAAACUAAACACAUUCAAAAUGAAAAAUAAUGGAAAUAACAUUAUGAAAGGUAGACUAAUCUUUCUUCGAAUUCAAAAAUACAAUGAAAAGUAGUUUUCUAUUUCUGUCUCCAUGAAUUCACUGAUCAGCUUACAGAUCUCAAGUCUUGCAGCAACGCACAUACAAAUCUAUACAGCGUACCCAAAUGUCAUAUAUAGUGUUAUUUGCUAAAGUAUGCAUUGCCUUUUGAAGAACUCAACAGUUUAUUUCUCCCCAACUUUGAAUAUAAUGAACUGUUUGUAUUUCUACUUCAAGAUUUUUGUGAAUUUUCUUUCAUAAGAAUAUAAGAUUUCUACCAAUUCUUUAUCUCACAAGACCAUCAUGUAUUUUAUACUUUCAUUAAAUCCAAGAGCUACACAGACUAUAAAUUUCUGAUAACUAUUUGCCACUCAUUUGUACGCUAGUAACAGUGAAUGGAAUCUUCUUUAAAACACCUCUUCUUUUUUAGAUCCACAAAAAUCUUAAAGUUGAAAUACAAAUAGGCCACUAUAUACAAAAUUUCCUAUUGUUUGUAAGGAUUGGAUGUCUCUAGAACUAUCAAGUAUUGUCAAUUAUCUUAAAGAGUAACCCAGCACAAAUGCAAAUUGUCUCAUAUGACACAGAGGGAUAUUUUGACUAUUUGACAGGUUGGAUGGUUCUUUGGGCAACCUGGUCCAGUGGAAGGUGUCUCUGGCAGGGGGUUGGAACUGGCUGAUCUUUAAGGUCCCUUCCAACCUAAACUAUUCCAUGAUUCUAUGCUUAAAGGAGCAAGCUGUGAUAUUUCUCUGGCAAACAUAUCUAGUGAAUUGCAGUUUCCGACAAAGGAGGAGGUAUACACAAAUAAGUUAUCCUGUGCAGGUAUUCUUUCAAGUACAAUUUAUCACCUUAAUUACUAUACCUUCUGCAGCAGGAUAGAAUGACUGGAUAUUUUUUUGUUACCAAACCAUUUGCACAUAUAUCAUGAAAGUAUUUUCUGUGUUUAUAUGUGUAUUACAUGAGCUAAUGCUUUAAUUGCUUUAUCAGCUUUUUGGGUCUCCCACACAGGCAGAAAACCACUGUAGUGAGUUGUGUAGUUAGGCAGUGGUGCAUAAGCAAUCAUAAGAGGUAGUUUUUGUAACUUUUGUAUUCUACUAGGCAACAAGCACCUUAGAUUUAGUGAGAUUGUAAGCGUGGUUAUUUACUGGUAGAAGCUGGUGGCUUCUCUCCCCUCUCUUUUUAAAUUUGAGGGUAAAGUAUAAUUUAUGUUCUGGGUAUCGUCUUCGAGAAGUUCUAAAUCACUUCAUGAGGCUUUCAGCGUGGCUUAUGUCAUUUAUCCAUCAGCACUCAGUCCAUUUAAUCCAAGCCUCUCAGCUGUACAGACCUAACUCCUGUUGUGAGUGAUCGGCCUGCUUGAGUGCUCCCAGCUUCUCCUGUCACAUCACAUUUGCAUAAAAGAGGACAGAUAACCAAAUUUGAGCACACAAAUGAAAAUGCUAAGCGCCAAACCUGUCACAGUUGUUGUUCAACUAAUUGUGAAAAAUUUGAUUUGCUGGCUUUUCACCGUUUAUCAUGUGGACCCCCUUCUCAAAUUUGCGUUGGCUUCUGCUUCUGUACAUGUAGCUUUUAAACUCUCUUCACAAGCAGCCCACCCUGGGGAUUACUUACCUCUCCUACCAGCUUUUAAUGUUGGCUCAUCUACUUGACUAAAUUAGGCCACCAUGGCAAACAAACACAUAAUUAAAAACCUGGGAAAGACAACUGCAGUUGCACUUCUUAAAUUGAUUUUGCAGUCUAUUACUGGUAUAUGCCUCUGCAUUUCGCCAUUUUAUCUUGUCCUCCUCUAAACCCUGAAAAUGCCUUUGCUUUUGAUUACAUGCAGGAGGAAUUUAUAUUAUUUCAAAAUGAAGACUUAAGAUUUUCUUCUCCAAAGGUGAAUAGUAAAUAAAAACACAUUCUCAUUUCUUUGUGGCAGACUAUUACAGAGUUUCUCUGUUCAUUUAGAUUUAAUACCUGUUUUUGAACUGCAUGAAAGCUCACAGUUGAGGUACUGUUCAAAUUACUGUGAUUUCUCAAAACUCUGUUUUUUGAGUUAGCUUUCAAAAUGUGCUUGUAACUGCUAUCAAGCUUCUAUUUCAAAUCACCUUCUCUUAACUUACUUGUGUAACGUACAUUCUUAUAAUGUAUACCAAAGGUCACCAAUUAAAACAGUUGAAUGUCUUGUUGCUUUUGCUGAGAGGAGGUUCAGUCUCACGGUUAUCUAUUAAAAAAAAAAAGUUAAAAAAAUAAAAAUAAAAAAUCCACUUACAUACUAAAAUCUUUCCUUCCUUUGGUAUUUGUGUUGGUCAACAUUUGAGAAGCUGGAUGGUGCAUACAAAUCUUUAGAGACCGCUGAAAGCCUCUAAAAAGAGCCUGAUAAGAAAAGCUGACAUUCAGAAAUAUACGAAUAUUUAAUGUUUUUCUAGCUGCCCUAAAAUAUAUUAAAAUAUAUAUGUGUUUUGGAAUGAAGAAAAUGAUUAUUAAUCAAAUUAACCAUAUAUACAAAAUAUUGUUUAAAAAUAAAUCAUUUUGCUUAUGGUGCAUUUAAAUUUAAUUUCAUCACUUGAAAGGGGAAAUGUUCCUACAGUGACCUUCAUGUCAAGUGCAGUUCACUGGUAGCAGCAAUAGUCACAAGGCAUAAUCCCUUUCAGAAACUGACAGAAGCCUCUCUUAAAAUGCAUCUGUUUCUCUUGUAAGGUUGUACAAACAAUGCAUAUGUGUUUUCUGAUGAUUAGGAACUAUGUUUUGUAGGUUAACCUGAUUUACAUCCCAAUAUAGUUAACUACCCAAUGUUUUAAAUAACUUUUCUCCCUUCGCUAUGUGUGUCCUUGAUACAUUCAUAAACAGCUGUCAUAUAUCAUCACAGGCUUCAUUUUACUAGACAAAGCAGGCUAAACUGUUAGAGGUCUUUGAUGGAAGUCUAAUGUAUUUAACAGCAGUGACUGAAGUUCACAGCUCAGUGUUUUGGAGACCAGUGCCCUUCUUCGCUGUUUUGCUCUUUUUUCUCAUUUUUACCGCCAAAUUCUAAUGUCCUUAAAAAUGCAGCUGGAGAAAUAAUUCGUGCUAUACUGUAUGCUUAAUACAUUUUCCUUGUACACUACCUCAUGUCCUUUCUUCUUAACAGCUUUUGAAUGUUGAGUUCUGCCCUUUUUUUCAAAUUUACCCAUGAAUUAAAUUGUAGAAUCAUAGAAUCAUACAAUCACUCAGGUUGGAAAAGAUCUUCAAAAUCAUCGAGUCCAACCAUGACCUAACCAUACUACCCUAACAACCCUCUGCUAAAUCAUGUCCCUGAGCACCACAUCCAAACAGUUUUUAAACACAUUCAAGGAUGGUGACUCAACCAUCUCCCUGGGGAGCCUAUUCCAGUGCUUAACAACUGUUUCUGUAAAGAAGUGUUUCCUAAUAUCCAACCUAAACUUACCCUGGCACAACUUGAGGCCAUUUCCCUUCAUCCUGUCAUUGUCACCAGUGAGAAAAAACCAACCCCACUCUCGCUGUAAGCACCUUUCAGAUAUUGGAAGAGAGCAAUAAGGUCUCCCCUCAGCCUCCUCUUCCCCAGACUAAACAGCCCCAGUUCCUUCAGUCUCUCCUCAGAGGGCAGAUUCUCCAAGCCCUUCGCAAGCCUUGCCCUUCUUUGGUGUCAGUGGUUUAUGGGCUGGUUUGGCCCAGUUCUGUGACUAGUGGGGCGUAGGGAUCUCGCAAAAUCCAUGCC